rfam:Asian citrus Psyllid, Diaphorina citri - Florida Strain, whole genome shotgun sequence.
AUCUCGGUGGUGUAGUGGUCAAGACGCUCGUCUGGUUAUCAGGAGGAAGUGGGUUCGAUCCCACCCGAUGUA